UCCUGUUGCAUAGCUGGGACUGGGGGAGGCGGCGGCAGAGGGGAGAGUCGCCUGUCUGCUGAACGCCGCCGGGACAUGCUCGCAGCCUGACUGACCGCAGGUGGCCGUCGCGCCCGGGACACGAAUGAAGAAGCAGCUGCUCCUCCUGUUCACACAUCGGGGACUCGUCAGCCGAGGGGGCCGCAGGGGGAAGCGCCGUCGAAAAUGGCCUCGUUCAGCAUUCGCGCCGCGCGUCCUGAGGACUGCCCCGACCUGCUGCGACUGAUCAAGGAACUAGCGAAAUACGAGGACAUGGAGGACCAAGUGGUGCUAACCGAGAAAGAGCUGCUUGAGGAUGGUUUUGGCGAGCACCCUUUCUACCACUGUCUGGUUGCAGAAGUGCCCAAAGAACAGUGGUCAUCUGAAGGUUACAGUCUCUAGCUUCGCCAUGUACAUGGCCCUUCUGUGUACAUGGAUGGGCGGGGAGGUAACUAAAAGAUCCGUUACACAAUAAAUAGAUGAUCAUAAUAUGAGAACACUGCAUUGUGGGCUUUGCCAUGUAUUACUUCACUUAUGAUCCAUGGAUUGGAAAACUACUGUAUCUUGAAGAUUUCUAUGUGAUGGCUGAGUACAGAGGACUUGGCAUUGGGUCAGAAAUUCUGAAGAACUUGAGUCAGGUUGCUGUGAAGUGCCGCUGCAGCAGUAUGCACUUCCUUGUUGCGGAGUGGAAUGAACCAUCCAUCAGGUUCUACAAGAGAAGAGGUGCCUCUGAUCUGUCCACUGAGGAGGGGUGGAGGCUCUUCAAGAUUGACAAAGAAUAUCUCUUGAAGAUGGCAACAGAAGAGUGAAGAGAUCAUUCCAGCAAAUAAAAUCUGUCUAUGGAUACAUAAUGCGCUCUGAAUAAACUCCUUCUUGCUUUCUGUGUACAGUUUGUAGUGGAAUAAAGUAGUGUGGAUGCUAAUACUGAAAGUGCUAUCUAUGCAGGUGUGGUCAUAGAGUAAUUGGUACUGUGAUCGGCAGUUGAGGCAUCUUUGAAGCUAUGUAUGUGCUUGUGUGCAUCCUUUACCAGUGUGGGCUUGUAGUCUUUGUAUAUGGAAACUUCAUUCUUGUAAGUGUCAUUCAAAUGUGUACAAUGUACACACUGGUAGGGUUUGUUUUAAUUAUUGCCUUUUAUAAAAAUAAAUAGUGGUUUCACUUCA